CAUGGAACCUCUGAUCGGGUGAGUAGCAGCCACCUGUUGCUGCAAGUCUGCUUUAUGGCGGGAUCAUAGUUCAAAGGCGAUAUAGUAUUAUUAGCAGGCCCGGGUUUCGGACUGAGAAGCCUUGUCUCCAGGGACCAGUUAUAUAUCGAACCAUACGAGGCGGGGAACCGAGCAGUAUUAAGGUAUGUGGUCUGGUGCUCUCGAGUUCUCAAGGUGGAGGAAGAAAUUCGGAUAAACUUGUUUGUGAUAUUAUAUCCACUUAGAACGUGUUCCAUG
rnacentral:SRP_RNA from 1 species